GUACAUUUGGUACCUGAUGCUGUAGGAUAAUGAUGGGAAAGCACCGGCUUUAGGAAAAACCUCUCCUCUCACUGAUCCCGACGGUUCCUAGCAGGUUUUCCACCAAAGCUGUAAUUCACGAGAAUGUGGCUGAAUCUGAUGUUGUCCUGGAUCUUCUCACUUGGCAUCUCCAGGUCAGGAGCGAACAGCCCGAGGCCUGGUCCUGGCAACAGAGUCCCUACUCCGCAGCCCAGCUGUGGCACGCUUAGCCUGCACCCCACAGUAGCCUGUCUCGGCGCUCCAUUGACGGCCUCCUGCACCCUCGACCCCGGCUGCCUGCAGAUCGGCCAUGCCCGCCCGGGCGAUAUUGUCUGGAGAUUGAACGGAGAGACUAGGCAGCUGCCACUGAACCAGAGCAUUG